GGGAGUGACAGAUAUAGGGAAGAUAAUCAAGGAGGUGAUGGAGUCCAGGUGAGUGACAGAUAUAGGGAAGAUAAUCAUGGAGGUGAUGGAGUCCAGGUGAGUGACAGAUAUAGGGAAGAUAAUCAUGGAGGUGAUGGAGUCCAGGUGAGUGACAGAUAUAGGGAAGAUAAUCAUGGAGGUGAUGGAGUCCAGGUGAGUGACAGAUAUAGGGAAGAUAAUCAAGGAGGUGAAGGAGUCCAGGUGAGUGUCAUGAGACGCUGGUGCGCUUGACGAUGGUGACAGGUGUGCGGGAUAAUCAGCAGCCUGAUGACCUAGAGGCUGGGGAGGGAGUAUAUGUGACAAGCACUAUGAUGAAACUGGCUCUCAUGAGGACCGCCACAAGAAAGGAAGACCCAGAGUUACCUCUGCUGCAA
ensembl:lncRNA